UACGUAGGGGGCAAGCGUUGUCCGGAAUUAUUGGGCGUAAAGGGCACGCAGGCGGUGGUUUAAGUUUGGUGUUUAAUCCCAGGGCUCAACCCUGGUACGCACUGAAAACUGGAUCACUUGAGUACAGAAGAGGAGAGUGGAAUUCCACGUGUAGCGGUGAAAUGCGUAGAGAUGUGGAGGAACACCAGUGGCGAAGGCGACUCUCUGGUCUGUAACUGACGCUGAGGUGCGAAAGCGUGGGGAGCAAACAGG
rnacentral:rRNA from 1 species